rnacentral:lncRNA from 1 species
UUACCUCAGAGAUGAAGCCGAAGGAAAAAACCUGCAGACUUGUUCUCCUCUGAGGUGCGAAAGCAUGGGGAGCGAACAGAAUUAGAUACCCUGGUAGUCCAUGCCUACUUCAACACAAUGGGCCUAAGGUGCAAGUACAAUAAAAAAACAGUUCAGUAAUUCGGGAAAAGUUUUCAUCUAUUUUGUAUUUGUAGCAUUUUGGCGACAUGGCCGAGUGAUAAGGCAGAGGAUUGCAAAUCCUUUUUCCCCAGUUCAAAUCCGGGACGCCUGAUCAACAAAAAACUCAAAAUAUGCAAACUAGCCCGGGCACCACCGUCAUUAAAAAGAACGACAUAUCACUAUACAAGCAGCAAUUGAUUAAAAAAAAAGAACUUUAUGUUAGCAUUAUGACAUAUUCUAACACAAUGUUAUAGAUUAAACAUUUGAGAAACAAAUAUAAACAUCAGAGAGAUCACGAUCAAAUAUAGAAAAAUGUAUCCUGGAUCUCAGGUUCUUAGUAGAACUAAACAAAAAAUAACCUUUCAAUCAAUGUUAUUGUGUUAUGACCCAAAACUUAUUAACUAAAUAAGUGUAGCUAGCGGGGUUCGAUCUUGAAUCGCCAGGGAGAGGGUUAACUAAUCACAAAAUCGAGGGCUCAGAUAAUUAGUUACUUAUUGAAGCUCAAGGAACCAGAUUCUACCAGCAGGCGAGCAGUUUGUUAUUUAACUAACAAACUCUGCAGAGAAGAGCAACGAAUACAUGGUAUUUCCCUUCUCUCACUUCCUCCCAAAUUCUCUUCUUCCUGAUUCCUUUCUCCUUCUUCUCUAACCCAGUCCCUUCUCUCUUCUGCAGGUCUAGAGUUCAGUCAUGGAGAUUUACUAUUCCAUUUAGUUUUCCGGUUCUCUUUUCUUUAGCUUGUAGUUCAAUUCUGCUUUAUUUCAAUACAACAGAAAAUUGUCCCAAAAUUGUCCCAGUUCCUUUUCUCAAUUGUUCAUUUCUAGAUUAAUUUAGUUAGACAGUGACAUAUUGACGAACGAAUAUAAUGAGGUAAAGAGGGAAAAAGAUGAAAAAACAGCAUACUAAGCUUACCUUGGACGUCGUGAAGCUCUACUUCAAUAUUCAUAAGCUCCUCAAAGAGUUCUUCAGUUCUUCCCAUUUUACUAAAGACAAACAAAAGAGUCCAGAAAAUACCAAUGAAUUCACUAUCUUCUGCAUCUUUAUAUAAAAACAAUAUUAAGAAAAGAAGUAAAAGAAACCCAGAAAAUACCUUUGAGUUUGUAGUGUUCUUCUUCUGCAUAUGAUUUUCUUGAAGAAAUAAAAUUGUAUUCGCCUCCUCUGUUCUGCACUUCGCUACAUAGAGAAUGAGAAAAUGGGGGUAUGUGCACAGUUACC